UUUUUUUUUUUUUUUUUUUUUUAAUUCAUGAGAGACAGGGAGAGGGGCAGAGACACAGGCAGAGGGAGAAUCAGGCUCCAUGCAGGGAGCCCAGUGUGGGACUCGAUCCCGGGCUGCCCUACUAGGCUCUUUUAAUGGCUUCCCAAAUUAAUCAGUUGGGAAGCAUUUCUGCUUUUUUUUUUUUUCUUUUUGGCCACCCAUCAAAUGACCCUUUAAAUAAAGAAUUUUCCAACCUUGUCAAAGGACACUCAUGAUAUAACUUGAUAUAUAAAAAUAAAGUAUUACCACUUUAUAGUCAGGAAAUUGAUAUGCUAUGUCGCAAUUAUUGCGCAUUAACCAGAUAAAACAUCUUUAAUAAAUUAGUAAUUUGUCCAUGUGGAAAUUACCUCCAACUUAAUGGUCUAUUUAAUUGCCUCUAAAGGAUUUUAAAUCUAUCAUAAGGUGUGUUUUUUUUUUUAAUGCAUAGAAUGUAGUGUAAAUAGAAAUAUGUGUAAUUGUCAUGAUCUCCAGAAAGAUUCAAGCCUUAAAUUACAUUAGUGUUGUGAAUCCUGGUUCAAAACAACAAAACAAAAUCUGUUUUGAUGGGCAGCCCUGGUGGCUCAGUGGUUUAGUGCCGUCUUCAGCCCAGGGCCUGAUCCUGGAGACCCGGCAUUGAGUCCCACAUCGGGCUCCCUGUAUGGAUGGAGCCUGCUUCUCCCUCUGCCUGUGUCUCUGUCUCUCAUAAAUAAAUAAAAAUCUUUUUUAAAAUAUGUUUCGAUUAUAUUUAGCAUUAUCUCAGUUUAUAUUCUGACACUUCAGGUAAAACUGUAGGCUUUAUGUUCUUUACUCUUUUUCAUUUAGAUUGUUAUUAGGUAUUUUAUGUAGUGCUAAAGAAAACAUAGUCAGUGGCUGCAUAUUAAAGAUGAUAGGUUAUUUAUCAAGCUCACAGGUGAAUAUGUGGCAAAGAUCACAGUUUUCAACUAUAAAGGAAAGGAACUGGGUGCUGUAAAAAAAAGAAUAACCUAAUUUAGAUUUGGGGUUCCCAAGACCUCUCUGAAAAGAGGGCAUUUGAGAUUGGAAUAAUAAAAAGGUAGAAAGUGUGCAAAUUCUGAGGUGGAAACAGCUUUCAUGCUUUCAAGGAAAUGGAAGAUAGAGAGGGAGACCGCCACUAUAAGUGCUUGAAAGGAGAGAGUAUCAAGAUAAAUUUGGAAAGGUAAGCAAAGGCCGCAUCCUGCAACACCUUUAAAGACUUGUGGGAAACGUUAGAUUUUAUUACAAGUACAGGGGAAAGCCGUAGAGGAGUUCUUAAGCAAGUCAUCACCUAAUAGUCUUGUAGAAAAGAAAUUGUACAUUUGAAGAACAUAAGAAUGGGAGAAAUUCACACUUAAGUCAAGAGAAUAGUAUGUGUUUCAUCUAUAAGGAUGGUAGAAAUGACUUCUCGAUUGGACUCUUGUGUUUAUACUUUAAGAUAUUGAGGUCAAUGUAAACUUCCUGCUGUUUGAUACUGUUUUGACUUGUAUUUAAGUAAUGCUACCAAAGGUUUCCUUUUUUCCUUUAGAAAUGUCAUAUUUAGAAGCUAUUUUUAUAUUUCUGAUAGAAUGUACAAUCAGAUUUCUCUUUCUGUAGGAGCAAGGACAGGAAGAGAACCAUAUCUAGUUGUGUAAGGAAAGAUACAUGAACAUAGGAUAUGAUGUCGCAAAACAUCCAGGCAGAUAGAAAAGAGAAGGAAGAUUCAAUAUAACAAAAUAUUCUUGCUGGAAAAGCUCCAGCUCUUGUGUUUCAGUCUUCUCACAUUAAAAUUGAGGCAUUUAGGAGGAUAAAAGUUCAUUUUAAAUAAAAUUAUAACUAUAAAUAGAAUCACAUGUAAGGUGAUAUUUACUAACCCAGUUAAUGACACUUGGAGAGAUGAAUGGACCCUGUAUCUUUAAUCUUUGCUUUCUCUGUCCCAAACAAGUAUUUACACCAGAAGUAUACUACAUGUGUAGACUACCAAAAAACUAGCUAUCAGAUUCUUCUCAAAUCAGAUAUCAAAGAUUUACCCCCACUGUUUUCUGCAAACUACUGUUCUCCUUCUCUCCAUCCGACUCUUCUCCAGUUGCAUUACUUGGUAUAAGGCUUCAGAAAUGUUCUCUAUUAGCUUUGACUAAAAGCCUUUGCAGACCUAGUCUAGAAAUUGUCUCUACAAGAAAUAAAGUCUAAUAAAAAAGAAAAGAAAAGAAAAA
rnacentral:lncRNA from 1 species